rnacentral:rRNA from 1 species
GACGAACCGUGCAAACGUUGUUCGGAAUCACUGGCUUAAAGGGCGCGUAGGCGGUUCGCCAAGUCGGGGGUGAAAUCUUCGGCUUAACCGGAAAAGUGCCUUCGAUACUGGCGGGCUGGAGGGAGGUAGGGCAUGUGGAACUUCCGGUGGAGCGGUGAAAUGCGUUGAUAUCGGAAGGAACGCCGGUGGCGAAAGCGACGUGCUGGACCUCUUCUGACGCUGAGGCGCGAAAGCGUAGGGGAGCGAA